AAACCGUGAUGUGGAUACUCUAUGCAGUAGACAUUGAAUUGUUCCCAUGCAUCACAGAACGGUUCGUCUGCUAGUUGCUUGAAGGUCGCAAUCUUCUGUCUCAGAGC